GUCUUUUCUCCAGGAAGCUUUGGUUUUGGAAUGGGACUAUAAGCAUCCACUGAAAGGAUUCUCUGUUCCACUCAACAUACUGUGACACUGACAGAAAGCUUCUGGUUGAGUGAAACCUCUGUAAAUCUGCCAUUGGGUCCUGUUUCUUCCUUGAUCACAGCACAUCCCAAGUCAUCUCUGUGACAGAGCUUCCUUACUGGGGAAAUCUCAAGAUGCAAAUUCAUGUAGGUGGCUUUUGGAGCUCCAUCAAAAAGUGACCCAUCUUGAUGAUGCUCAACAUGCAAGCUGCCACUGAAUCACAGCCACAGCACUACAGUACUGUUUGAUGCUGGGUCUUGGGGCAAUGAAUGUGGAAUAACAGAAGUGGUAUCUGGUAGCUAAAUGCACCUACUGUAUGUCACCUAGUUUUUAAUACUUUUGCAUUACUUUUGCACGCUGAAAAUAAAAGAUGGCAUUUAAUUGCUGGUAGAACUCAGAUCAUUGUGGCAGAGUUGGACAGAAAAGAAAACAGACCCAGAGAUGUGAUUCACUGUCCGCAAAAUCAAGUAGCAGAAAGAUCAGAAUUGAAGAAUGCAGAUAGAAGCUUUCCCUGAUCAUCACUAAGAUUUAAAAGCAUAACAACAAGUAACAUGAUUGUCAUGGUGACUGAGUGUUUGUUUAUGGUAAAAUGCAUCAGGCAAAGUUGGAAUGUUUUUAAUUUAAAGCUCAGAUGACAGGGAAUUGAGUAUUGUAAGAAAGAACAGGAAUAUAUUCUUGGCAGAUACAAUGCAAAUAAUUAUUUUUCCUAUGAAAAUUCCUUUCAGAGCUCACUUUUUCCUGCCUCUUUCUUCAUUUUAAUUCUGAAUAUGUUUGUCUUUUGUGAAUGGAGGGAGCCAUCAAGCUAGGUUUGAGGAAAGUGAAAAUGAGCACCGCUCAUAAGCAGACUCUUGGUAGUAAACAGACAUUAUGGCUUCUUAUAAUAAUAUUUUUUAAAAAAGAAUAAUUCUUAAAUCUGAUUGCUGCACUAUACGCUGUGCUGGAACUUGCAAAUAUAUGAGAAGUCAGUCAGAUAGUAUGCUGCAUAGAAUUAGUUUAGCAUUUUUUCUCCUGAAAUUGUCAGGUGACUCAAUUUUCUGGGCCCCAUAUUCUAAAAUUCAGUUUUAUUUGCCUAAAAAUAGCACACAUAAUAAAACCCAAAACACUAAACCUCCAGGACCAACAUAAGAGAACUUAAUAAGAUAUUCAAUUUGCUGCAAUUUAAAUUGAUGGGAAAAUCCUGUUAAGAUUAGAAGUGUCCAAUAGGCUGAUAGUUUGUUAUAUGAUAAUAAAUUAGUUUUGUGUAAAUUACUCUUGCUGUAAUAUACCCUACAUUUGCAAGCAUUUCUUUGAAACCAUUCAGGAAUAGCUCUCCAUCUUGAACAAGUGACUUCAGAGCCUCAGGGCUACACUGAAGGCUGAUGAACAACAGCAUCCUCACCUACAGCUAUGUACUUCGAGACAGUAUUUCAUGUUAACGGCAAAAUAUCCAAUGGACUUUCACAGGAGAUGUUCAAAAGGUCUGGAGCACAGAACUCAAUCGUUUAAGGAUUGGAAGAAGGUUUUUAGAAAGCCUUAAAAUCAUUAUACCUUCAGUCUCCAUCUCUAUCUCUUUUUAAGGGUAACAAAUGUAGUAAAUGGAGGGAGAUAUCUGAUUUGCAUGCAAAGCCUGCCAGUUUACAGGGAGCUUUUUGCUGUCACUGGUCAGAAGAUAACGUUUAUUUUGCAUUUAAUUGUAUUUUUGGGAAUAUAUCAUUGUGCCUUGUGAUUUUAAAUGAACUGGCAAAAAUUUAACUGGCAAUAAUCAUUAUAUUUUAAUACUCAUAGAUUUCAUUGAAAUGAGUGGUAAGAUAUGUAUUAAUGUUAGUAGGCACAAGACCAGGCUUUAAUGGUACAUGACACCACCUAGGAAUCUUUUAAAGAUAUUGCUUUAGAAUGAAAGAGAAAAAGUGUUUAAAGUUCUCUUCUUGUACAAGACAAAUGAUGUGGGUUUAUGUUAAAUUUGAAAAAAAAUAUCAAAUGACUUUGUAAAAAAGUUUAACUUAAUCAGAUUUGCAGAUUCUCAUAUAAAUUACCAAACUAGUAACUACUUUCAUGGCAUUAUUACUAAAAAAAGAAUUAUUAUUUGCAAAUUGCAUAAAAAUAAAUAGAAGA